rnacentral:rRNA from 1 species
UGAAAGGCCAAUCAAACCGGGAGAUAGCUGGUUCUCCCCGAAAGCUAUUUAGGUAGCGCCUCGUGAACUCAUCUCGGGGGGUAGAGCACUGUUUCGGCAAGGGGGUCAUCCCGACUUACCAACCCGAUGCAAACUGCGAAUACCGGAGAAUGUUAUCACGGGAGACACACGGCGGGUGCUAACGUCCGUCGUGAAGAGGGAAACAACCCAGACCGCCAGCUAAGGUCCCAAAGUCAUGGUUAAGUGGGAAACGAUGUGGGAAGGCCCAGACAGCCAGGAUGUUGGCUUAGAAGCAGCCAUCAUUUAAAGAAAGCGUAAUAGCUCACUGGUCGAGUCGGCCUGCGCGGAAGAUGUAACGGGGCUAAACCAUGCACCGAAGCUGCGGCAGCGACACUAUGUGUUGUUGGGUAGGGGAGCGUUCUGUAAGCCUGUGAAGGUGUACUGUGAGGUAUGCUGGAGGUAUCAGAAGUGCGAAUGCUGACAUAAGUAACGAUAAAGCGGGUGAAAAGCCCGCUCGCCGGAAGACCAAGGGUUCCUGUCCAACGUUAAUCGGGGCAGGG